GUUGUUAUAGCACUAGUAGUGUAUUUGGUUUAAGAUCAAAAGGUUUUUUUCAAUU
rnacentral:tRNA from 1 species